CCGCAGCCACUCGUGGCGGGGGGGGGGGGGGACGGGGCGCGGGCCGAGGGGCGAAGGUCCCCUUCCCUCGCCCCCGGCCGCUGCUGGCCGGCCGAGCCUGGCGCGUCCCCCCCCCCCCCCCCCCCCACCCGCCGCGUCCCCAGAGCGGCGGUGGGAGCCCCCCCCGAGCCGGUGCCGGGUGUGGGAAGCGGUCCCAGGUGGACGCCGCGACCGGCCCUUCCCCGCGCAAGCGGCUGCGCGUCAAAACCGCUUGCCUUGCGCGCCGACUGGAGCUCGGGUGUCGCUCUGGGUAACCUCCACCCGCGCCCUUUUUUAAAAUCAACGGGAAAGAAAACGGACGGGGCGGCACACCCGGCUGCCCGUACCCAGCCUCCGAGCCUGGCCGCUGCCACCCGCAGAGGUUUCCCAAAACGGGGGGAACGUGGCACCGGUCGGGGGCACCGGCACGGUGCUGCCUGAACCAGCCCCGGGCCGAGCCCUGUGGAUUUUCAGUAGCCAACCGUCUCCCAAGCACGAUAGAAUUUACUCGCCGCAGAAGGCGAGGGAGCCGGACAACGCGCUUGUUGCCUCCGGCGUUGCCUCGUGUGACCCCGCUGGGACGCGUGACACCGGGUGGCUCCGUCUGCCUGGCGUGCAGGACCGGGAGCCUGAUUAGCACCGUCAGCCCACUCUGAAACGAGCCUGGGGUGCUGGUUAUGCGCUGCGCCUAAACCCGGGUAAAACACUGCUUUAGUACAACUGUGGCAUUGACUGAAUCGUGCACAGAAACACACGCUCGUUCUGAGGUCGGCCACCACUUCAAAGGGACAUCCUUUCUCUAGCAUCUGUCCCUGCACUUCUCUUUUGGCUGGCGGGUGCUGCUGACUGAAAUACAGGUUUCCCCACAGAGGGGCCCCUGUAGCUUGGCAUUCUCAGUGUAUUUGGACUGUGUGUACUUAGUUGGAGAAGGGGUCAGGAUUUCAUACCGAGGACAUUCUGUAUAUCAGCUCUCUGUGUAUAAGGCUGUGAAGAACCUGCAUAAAGUCUGUUGACUUCCACAAGCCAGAUACCAUCUGCCUGUUGUAGCUGCUGGGAUUGCAUUCAUAAAAAAGUUAAGGUAUAUAAAUCACAGAUUAGGACUCCCUCUUACCUUCAGAGAUUCCCAAAGGAACGAUGUUAUCCUGUGCAGAUGUCAUGCUUUCCACAACUACAUACAAGCCAGAAGGAUCUUCCAGCACCUCUGCUCUGAUCCGCUAAUCCAGACCUGCCAAAAAAGACGACCUUCUCAGAGAAACUUUCACAAGCCUAAACAAUAUUCUGAAAAAUACCUGUUGUCUGCCUUCCAAAACAUAUAUUUCUGUAAAUGUAUUACAGAGAAGAAAGGGGAGCGCAAAACUUAAUAACAUUCCCUGGGAUCUUACUUUACUGAAAACUGGUCUAAUUAGCAUAACAUGUUUAAUAGUAAUGACCCCCAAUAGAGAACUAAAACAAAGAUUAAUAGAUGGAUACAUAUUACUCAACUGCCAACUUUUUAAUUAGAUUUAUCAGGGAGAGUAGAUCAGAGGUGUUGAGCAUAAGAAGGCCCGAGCCUAAUGGUUUUUCUUCAGUUUGUUUUUCACAUGAAGAGUAGCAGCACCCUUUAGCCCCACUAGAAGAGACGUUAUCUUUCACUUCCCACAAGGACCAUGUUUUUUCCACACUGACUUUUUCUUCAGUCAGAAAGAAACCCCUAGAAGUCUGAUAUGCAACAGUAUUUCCCUACCUCUUUGUUGAUCGUCUUCAGGUUAUGUCAGCUCUCAAGUGCUAAAUGAUGUGCUACAAAAUGGCCUGCUUAGUUAUGCAUCCUUCCACCAGUUUUCUGGCCGUGGCUGCAGAGGAAGAUGGGUGAUCCCAAUUUGAGAUAUCAACCCCUGCAGCAAGAAAAUUAGCCUGUUGCCAGUGUUUCUGAUUGUCGCUAUUCCUGAGCUCUCCUAAAAUAGUGGAGGAAGUGGUCAUGAGGGCACUGUAAAUUAAAAAUGUCCACGUCUUGCCUGGUACUGCCUGAAAACCCUGUGAAUGUAAUAAAACAAAGGGACGUACGUGCAUAUUUGUUAACAUUAAAGCCAGUUAAGUCUAUUGAUCACAUGUAUAUCUCAGGCCAAAAACAGAAAUACUUUUUUUUUUUUUUUUUAAUUAAUAAACAGUAGCUGAUAAACAGUUGGAUGCUUUCCUGCAAGCAGAUUUGCCCUGAUGUCCCUGAUGAUGGAUUAACAGCAAAUUUAAUUCAAAGAGAACCAGUAAAGUGGCAGUCAGGUUAGGUUUCAGGUGAGAUGAAUUGAUUACUGAUUACUUAAAUUUCACUUCACAUGACAGAAUCCAAGCCAUAAUGUUUUUAUGUGUGAACAUGGUAGAAAAAAGAAGAAUGGCAGCUAUAGGGGAGCAAGAAUUUAAAUAUUGACUUUCAGGUGCAUGGAAUACACCUAUAAUGCAAUAGGAGUAGUGUUUAGUGCACAAAGUUGACAUGUAUUCUACAGUCAGGAAGACAGGAGAGGGAAAAAUUAAGUAAUUUUUAUUUGUUUCUUUUACCAUUGUAACUAAUGUGGCAGUUAAAAACCUUUCAGAUAAAAUAUUAAUAGUUCAGAAGAGGCUGUAAUCAGAAUAUAUUUUUUUUCCAUGCAGAUUUUCAGAAGAGUUUUUGUUAGCUGCCAAAAGGAACAUACAGUCACCUGAGAGUGAAGUAAUAUAAUUUAUGCCAAACGGUUUACCACAAAUAGUUCCUUAGUGAUCCACCUUCUUUAGCAAGCAGACAUAAAAUCAUUGGUCUUCAAAAUUAUGUUCAGAAACUAAUGAUCUAAUACAAGCUAUCAAGAGAGGGAUGCAUAGAGUUCAACUAUCUAUUUUUCUGGGGGGAAAAGUGAUUGAGAAUUUUAAUGUUAGUUCUGUACUAGUAAAGAAUAUACACUGGAGAACAACAGAAUUGCUCUUUAGUUUCUGUCAUUACAGAAACACUUGCAUUCCUUUUGAGUGCACAGAAAUCUUCUUGAAUAUGUCAUGGUUUUUUCAAAUUUGCAAACACCUUUUUUAAACAACAAUAAGUGAAAUAUAAAACCAUCUCAAACUUUUCCAGAAUAUAUUGAAAAUCAGUAACUUUCUGAAGGUAUAUAAACAAAAAAGAUACAUUUUUAAAAACUGCUGCUGUAGCAUAAAUGAAGGAAAAACACUUCUUUGGAGAAUAUGGUUAAGUAUAGGAAUUACUAACGCCUUUUCUUUUCAGCUAGUUAACUGCAAAUUUUAUUCUUAGGAAUGUAGGUUUGGAGGGUUUUUUAGUAUUUUGCUAUAUAGUGUACAGAAAGAGACUUCAAACAAUUAUCCAUUGAGCUAAAAAUUCUUUUAUUAGCUUAAAAUCAUUUUGCCUUCUGGGGAUGAUAACAUUUGCAGUUUCAAAUGUGAUUAAAUGGAAGUGGUAGUUUACAAAGUGAGAGAUACUGUAUAUAUUUCUUUGAAUGUAAACCAACACCAGUAAGUAUUGCUUAAAUAAAUGUAACUUUGACCACAGUUUUGUAAAUAAACAAUUGCUGAUACAA